CAUGUUAGCCAGGAUGUUCUUGAUCUCCUGAUCUCAUGAUCAGCCUGCCUUGGCCUCCCAAAGUGCUGGGAUUACAGGCAUAAGCCACCAUGCCCAGCCUGUCAGUCAUGUUUUUAACUGUAACUAUCCUGGAAAUUUUGUCAUUCAAAGACCAUUUUGUCUUGCUUUGUUCCUUCUUAAAAGAUAGGUUAUAAUCAAGCUAUAAAACUUGAACAGGUGUUCUCAAAUUUGAGUUUUUAAUAGCCUUGAAGAUUGUAACAUUGGAAUAGAGAAAGAAUGUGUGGGACUCAUGAAGAACUGAAAUGUUCACGAAUGUCAAGCAAUACAAGAGUUAACUAAAUGGACUGCACUCAGAAAGUUAAAGCAACCUUUUUGACUUUUACUUGGAAUGUUGCUGAUCCUUGUUUUGUUUUUCAGAGUUAAGAAAACUUAUUUUAAACUAUUUAUGGCCUUUAAUAAUUGAGUAAGGUAUACUCCUGCAAACAAAAUUUGGAGCAUGUUUGUUUCUGUCUGCCUGGUUCCUCUAGAAGUUGGAAACUGCCUCUUUUUGCCUACAUUUUAGACUAACCCUGCUUAUUCCUGUGAAUCAAGUGGUGAUCUCCUGCAGCUUGGAAGAAACAAAAAGGCAUAGAAGCAAUCAAACCCCAAAUGGUGCUGCAGACAGAGCCACACAUGGACGCAAUCCGAGAACACUUAGAUUGACCUCAAGAGGAGGCCCAACCACUGUCCCCCAACAAGAUGCCGCUUUUUAGCAGGAAGUAGCCAGAGAGAAUCGUCAUCCAACACCCCCUAACAGCAGUUAAGUUUAUGUCUGUAGAGGGGGGAAAUAAUACAGGAGUUAUUAAGAAAUUAUUUUUAGAGGUUCCAAGAUGGCUGAAUAGGAACAGCUCCAGUCUACAGCUCCCAGCGUGAGCGACACAGAAAAUGGGUGACUUCUGCAUUUCCAACUGAGGUAUUGGGUUCAUCUCACUGGGGCUUGUCAGACAGCGGGUGCAGCCCACGGAGUGUGAGCUGAAGCAGGGUGGGACAUUGCCUCACCCGGGAAGUGCAAAGGGUUGGGGAAUUCCCUUUCCUAGCCAAGGGAAGCCAUGACAGACAGUACCUGGAAAAUUGGGACACUUCCACCCUAAUACUGGGCUUUUCCAAUGGUCUUAGCAGAUGGCACACCAGGAGAUUAUAUCCCAUGCGUGGCUUGGAGGGUCCCACGUCCAUGGAGCCUCCCCCACUGCAAGCACAGCUAACAGAGAUCGAACUGCAAGGUGGAAGCGAGGUGGGGGGAGGGGCAUCCACCAUUGCUGAGGCUUGAGUAAGUAAACAAAGCCGCUGGGAAGCUUGAACUGGGUGGAGCCCACUGCAGCUCAAGGAGGCCUGGUGUGCCUCUGUAGACUCCACCUCUGGGGGCAGGGCAUAGCUGAACAAAAGGCAGCAGAAACUUCUGCAGACUUAAACGUCCCUGUCUGACAGCUUUAAAGAGAGUAGUGGUUCUCCCAGCAUGGAGUUUGAUAUCUGAGAACGGACAGACCGCCUCCUCAAGUGGGUCCCUGAUCCCUGAGUAGCCUAACUGGGAAACAUCUCCCAGUAGGGGGCCGACUGACACCUCAUACAGCCAGGUGCCCCUCUGAGAUGAAGCUUCCAGAGGAACGAUCAGGCAGCAACAUUUGCCGUUCUGCAAUAUUUACUGUUCUGCAGCCUCCACUGGUGAUACCCAGGCAAAACUGGACCUCCAGCAAAUUCCAACAGACCUGCAGCUGAGGGUUCUGACUGUUAGAAGGAAAACUAAUAAACAGAAAGGACAUCCACACCAAAACCCCAUCUGUACGUCACCAUCAUCAAAGACCAAAGGUAGAUAAAAACACAAAGAUGGGGAGAAACCAGAGCAGAAAAGCGGAAAAUUCUAAAAAUCAGAAUGUCUCUCUCUCCUCCUCCAAAGGAAUGCAGCUCCUCACCAGCAACAGAACAAAGUUGGAUAGAGAAUGACUUUGACGAGUUAAGAGAAGAAGGCUUCAGAUAAUCGGUAAUAACAAACUUCUCCAAGCUAAAGAAGGGUGUUCAAACCCAUCGUAAAGAAGCUAAAAACCUUGAAAAAAGAUUAGACAAAUGGCUAACUAGAAUAAACAGUGUAGAGAAGGCCUUAAAUGACCUGAUGGAGCUAAAAACCAUGGCACGAGAACUACAUGACACAUGCACAAGCUUCAGUAGCUGAUUCAAUCAAGUGGAAGAAAGGGUAUCAGUGACUGAAGAUCAAAUGAAUGAAAUGAAGUGAGAAGAGAAGUUUAGAGAAAAAAGAGUAAAAAGAAAUGAACAAAGCCUCGAAGAAAUAUGGGACUAUGUCAAAAGACCAAAUCUACGUCUGAUUGGUGUACCUGAAAAUGACGGGGAGAAUGGAACCAAGCUGGAAAACACUCUUCAGGAUAUUAUCCAGGAGAACUUCCCCAGCCUAGCAAGGCAGGCCAACAUUCAAAUUCAGGACAUACAGAAAAUGCCACAAAGAUACUCCUCAAGAAGAGCAACUCCAAGACACAUAAUUGUCAGAUUCACCAAAGUUGAAAUGAAGGAAAAAAUGUUAAGGGCAGCCAGAGAGAAAGGUGGGGUUACCCACAAAGGGAAGCCCAUCAGACUAACAGCGGAUCUUUCAGCAGAAACUAUACAAGCCAGAAGAGAGUGGGGGUCAAUACUCAACAUUCUUAAAGGAAAUAAUUUUCAACCCAGAAUUUCAUAUCCAGCCAAACUAAGCUUCAUAAGUCAAGGAGAAAUACAAUCCUUUACAGACAAGCAAAUGCUGACAGAUUUUGUCACCAACAGGCCUGCCUUACAAGAGCUCAUGAAGGAAGCACUCAACAUGGAAAGGAACAACUGGUACCAGCCACUGCAAAAAUGUGCCAAAUUGUAAAGACCAUUGAUUCUAGGAAGAAACUGCAUCAACUAAUGAGCAAAAUAACCAGCUAACAUCAUAAUGACAGGAUCAAAUUCACACAUAAAAAUAUUAACCUUACAUGUAAAUGGGUUAAAUGCUCCAAUUAAAAGACACAGACUGGCAAAUUGGAUAAAGAAUCAAGACCCAUCAGUGUGCUGUAUUCAGGAGACCCAUCUCACGUGAAGAGACACACAUAGGCUUAAACUAAAGGGAUGGAGGAAGAUCUACCAAGCAAAUGGAAAACAAAAAAGAGCAGGGGUUGCAAUCCUAGUCUCUGAUAAAACAGACUUUAAACCAACAAAGAUCAAAAGAGACAAGGCCAUUACAUAAUGGUAAAGGGAUCAAUUCAACAAGAAGAGCUAACUAUCCUAAAUAUAUAUGCACCCAUUACAGGAGCACCCAGAUUCAUAAAGCAAGUCCUUAGAGACCUACAAAGAGACUUAGACUCCACACAAUAAUAAUGGGAGACUUUAACACCCCCACUGUCAACAUUAGACAGAUCAACGAGACAGAAAGUUAACAAGGAUAUCCAGGACUUGAACUCAGCUCUACACCAAGCGGACCCAAUGGACAUCUACAGAACUCUCCACCACAAAUCAACAGAAUAUACAUUCUUUUCAGCACCACAUCGUACUUUUUCCAAAAUUGACCACAUGGUUGGUAGUAAAGCACUCCUCAGCAAAUGUGAAAGAACAGAAAUUAUAAAAAACUGUCUCUCAGACCACAGUGCAAUCAAACUAGAACUCAGGAUUAAGAAACUCACUCAAAACCACUCAACUACAUGGAAACUGAACAACCUGCUCCUGAAUGACUACUGGGUACAUAAUGAAAUGAAGGCAGAAAUAAAGAUGUUCUUUGAAACCAAUGAGAACAAAUGCACAACAUACCAGAAUUGCUGGGACACAUUUAAAGCAGUGUGUAGAGGGAAAUUUAUAGCACUAAAUGCCCACAAGAGAAAGCAGGAAAGAUCUAAAACUGACACCCUAACACCACAAUUAAAAGAACUAGAGAAGCAAGAGCAAACACAUUCAAAAGCUAGCAGAAGGCAAGAAAUAACUAAGAUCAGAGCAGAACUGAAGGAGAUAGAGACAUAAAAAAUCCUUCAAAAAUCAAUGAAUCCAGGAGCUGAUUUUUUGAAAAGAUCAACAAAAUUGAUAGACCACUAGCAAGACUAAUAAAGAAGAAAAGAGAGAAGAAUCAAAUAGAUGCAAUAAAAAAUGAUAAAGGGGAUAUAACCACCAAUCCCACAGAAAUACAAACUACCAUCAGAGAAUACUAUAAACACCUCUACGCAAAUAAACUAGAAAAUCUAGAAGAAAUGGAUAAAUUCCUGGACACAUACACCCUCCCAAGACUAAACCAGGAAGAAGUUGAAUCCUUGAAUAGACCAAUAACAGGCUCUGAAAUUGAGGAAAUAAUUAAUAGCUUACCAACCACAAAAAGUCCAGGACCAGAUGGAUUCACAGCCGAAUUCUACCAGAGGUACAAGGAGGAACAGGUACCAUUCCUUCUGAAACUAUCCCAAUCAAUAGAAAAAGAGGGAAUCCUCCCUAACUCAUUUUAUGAGGCCAACAUCAUCCUGUUACCAAAGCCUGACAGAGUCACAACAAAAAAAGAGAAUUUUAGACCAACAUCCCUCAUGAACAUUGAUGCAAAAAUCCUCAGUAAAAUACUGGCAAACCAAAUCCAGCAGCACAUCAAAACGCUUAUCCACCAUGAUCAGUGGGCUUCAUCCCUGGGAUGCAAGGCUGGUUCAACAUACGCACAUCAAUAAACACAAUCCAUCAUAUAAACAGAACCAACGAGAAAAACCACAUGAUUAUCUCAACAGAUGCAUAAAAGGCCUUUGACAAAAUUCAGCAGCCCUUCAUGCUAAAAACUCUCAAUAAAUUAGGUAUUAAUGGGACAUAUCUCAAAAUAAUAAGAGCUAUUUAUGACAAACCCACAGCCAAUAUCAUACUGAAUGGGCAAAAACUGGAAGCAUUCCCUUUGAAAACUGGCACAAGACAGGGAUGCCCUCUCUCACCACUUCUAUUCAACAUAGUGUUGGAAGUUCUGGCCAGGGCAAUCAGGCAGGAGAAAGAAAUAAAUGGUAUUAAAUUAUGAAAAGAGGUUUAGUCUUGGCAGGGUGUAUGUGUCCAGGAAUUUAUCCAUUUCUUCUAGAUUUUCUAGUUUAUUUGCAUAGAGGUGUUUAUAGUAUUCUCUUAUGGUAGUUUGUAUUUCUGUGGGAUUGGUGGUUAUAUCCCCUUUGUCAUUUUUUAUUGCAUCUAUUUGAUUCUUCUCUCUUUUCUUCUUUAUUAGUCUUGCUAAUAAAUCUUUGUUGGCAGAUGACAUGAUUGUAUAUUUAGAAAACCCCAUCAUCUCAGCCCAAAAUCUCCUUAAGCUGAUAAGCAACUUCAGCAAAGUCUCAGGAUGCAAAAUCAAUGUGCAAAAAUCACAAGCAUUCUUAUACACCAAUAACAGACAAACAGAGAAGCAAAUCAUGAGUGAGCUCCCAUUCACAAUUGCUUCAAAGAGAAUAAAAUACCUAGGAAUCCAACUUGCAAGGGACGUGAAGGACCUCUUCAAGGAGAACUACAAACCAACUGCUCAAUGAAAUAAAAGAGGACACAAACAAAUGGACGAACAUUCCAUGCUCAUGGAUAGGAAGAAUCAAUAUCGUGAAAAUGGCCAUACUGCCCAAGGUAAUUUAUAGAUUCAAUGCCAUCCCCAUCAAGCUACCAAUGACUUUCUUCACAGAAUUGGAAAAAACUACUUUAAAGUUCAUAAGGAACCAAAAAAGAGCCUGCAUUGCCAAGUCAAUCCUAAGCCAAAAGAACAAAGCUGGUGGCAUCAUGCUACCUGACUUCAAACUAUACUACAAGGCUAUAGUAACCGAAACAGCAUGGUACUGGUACCAAACCAGAGAUAUGACCAAUGGAACAGAACAGAGCCCUUAGAAAUAAUACCACACAUCUACAACUAUCUGAUCUUUGACAAACCUGACAAAAACAAGAGAUGGGGAAAGGAUUCCCUAUUUAAUAAAUGGUGCUGGGAAAACUAGCUAGCCAUAUGUGGAAAGCUGAAACUGGAUCACUUCCUUACACCUUAUACAAAAAUUAAUUCAAGAUAUAUUAAAGACUUAAAUAUUAGACCUAAAACCAUAAAAACCCUAGAAGAAAACCUAGGCAAUACCAUUCAGGACAUAGGCAUGGGCAAGGACUUCAUGACUAAAACACCAAAAGCAAUGGCAACAAAAGCCAAAAUUGACAAAUGGGAUCUAAUUAAACUAAAGAGCUUCUGCACAGCAAAAGAAACUACCAUCAGAGUGAACAGGCAACCUACAGAGUGGGAGAAAAUUUUUACAAUCUACCAAUCUGACAAAGGGCUAAUAUCCAGAAUCUACAAAGAACUUAAACAAACUUACAAGAAAAAAUCAAACAACCCCAUCAAAAAUUGGGCAAAGGAUAUGAACAGACAGUUCUCAAAAGAAGAUAUCUAUGCAGCCAACAGACACAUGAAAAAAUGCUUAUCAUCACUGGCCAUCAGAGAAAUGCAAAUCAAAACCACAAUGAGAUACCAUCUCACACCAGUUAGAAUGGCGAUCAUUAAAAAGUCAGGAAACAACAGAUGCUGGAGAGGAUGUGGAGAAAUAGGAACACUUUUGCACUGUCGAUGGGACUGUAAACUAGUUCAAUCAUUGUGGAAGACAGUGUGGUGAUUCCUCAAGGAUCUAGAACUAGAAAUACCAUUUGAUCCAGCUGUCCCAUUAUUGGGUAUAUACCCAAAGGAUUAUAAAUCAUGCUGCUAUAAAGACAGAGGCACACGUAUGUUUAUUGCAGCACUAUUCACAAUAGCAAAGACUUGGAACCAGCCCAAAUGUCCAUCAAUGAUAGACUGGAUUAAGAAAAUGUGGCACAUAUACACCAUGGAAUACUAUGCAGCCAUAAAAAAGGAUGAGUUCAUGUCCUUCGUGGGGACAUGGAUGGAUUGGGAAACCAUCAUUCUCAGCAAACUAUCACAAGGACAGAAAACCAAACACCACAUGUUCUCACUCAUGGGUGGGAAUUGAACAAUGAUCACACUUGGACACAGGGUGGAGAACAUCACACACUGGGCCUGUCAUGGGGUGGAGGAAGCGGGGAGGGAUAGCAUUAGAAGAUAUACCUAAUGUAAAUGAUGAGUUAAUGGGUGCAGCACACCAACAUGGUACAUGUAUACAUAUGUAACAAACCUGCACGUUGUG